rnacentral:rRNA from 1 species
AGUCACUGACAUUAGAUACCCGUGUAGUCCAGGGUGUAAACGCUGCAGGCUUGGUGUUGGAAGCCCUUUGGGGGCAUUCAGUGCCGGAGAGAAGUUGUUAAGUCUGCUACUUGGGGAGUACGUCCGCAAGGAUGAAACUUAAAGGAAUUGGCGGGGGAGCACCGCAACGGGAGGAGCGUGCGGUUUAAUUGGAUUCAACACCGUAAAACUCACCAGGGAAGACUGUUACAUGAAGGCCGAGAUGAAGACUCUGCUAGAUUUUCAG